rnacentral:lncRNA from 1 species
AUUUAGGAAGAAUUAUGAAGUUUUACUAAAUUACAUGACAAAAAAUUAAAACGAUGCUCAUGAACCAUGAAAGAGAGUUUAAUAUACAUUAAUGAAAAUGAAGAAUGUGUUUAGAAAUUUUAAAACAACACUAAAGAUCAUAGGUUUCAGUAUAUAGACAAUUUACCGAAAAACUCAAUAUUUUCGUAGGGGUUAACCCA